rnacentral:lncRNA from 1 species
GGGUGGGGUUUAGGAUUUAGGGUUUAGGGUUUAUGGUUUAGAGUUUAGGGUUUAGGGUUUAUAGAUUAGGGUUUAGGGUUUAGGGUUUAGGGUUUAGAAUUUAGGGUUUAGGGUUUAGAAUUUAGGGUUUAGAGUUUAGGGUUUGCGGUUUAGAGUUUAGGGUUUAGAGUUUAGAGUUGAGAAAUGAGGUUUUGGGGAUAAGAUUUCAAAUUUUAAAAAAUAAAAAAAUUAAAAUUUUCAAAGGAUAAACUUAGAAAUGUGCUAUUUUGGUUAUUUUAGUUUUGGAGUGCUAUUU